rnacentral:misc_RNA from 1 species
GAUGAAGAACGCAGCGAAAUGCGAUACGUAAUGUGAAUUGCAGAAUUCAGUGAAUCAUCGAAUCUUUGAACGCAUAUUGCGCUCUCUGGUAUUCCGGAGAGCAUGCUUGUUUGAGUUUCAGUAAACACCUCAACUUCCAUAUCUUUUUUGAAAUGGGAGUUGGACUUGAGUGAUCCCAACGCUUUUCCUCACCGAAAAGUGGCGGGUUACUUGAAAUGCAGGUGCAGCUGGACUUUUCUCUGAGCUAUAAGCAUAUCUAUUUAGUCUGCCUAAAAACAGAUUAUUACCUUUGCUGCAGCUAACAUAAAGGAGAUUAGUUCUUGUGCUGACUGAUGCAGGAUUCACAAAGACAGGCUUCGGCCGACUUUGUAAACUCGAUCUCAAAUCAAGUAAGACUACCCGCUGAACUUAAGCAUAUCAAUAAGCGGAGGA